rnacentral:rRNA from 1 species
GGUUAAGUGACUAAGCGUACACGGUGGAUGCCUUGGCAGUCAGAGGCGAUGAAAGACGUAGUAACUUGCGAUAAGCCCAGAUUAGGUAGUAACAACCAUUUGAGUCUGGGAUUUCUGAAUGGGGAAACCCACGUGCAUAAGCACGUAUCCUUACCUGAAUACAUAGGGUAAGGAGGCGAACCGGGGGAACUGAAACAUCUAAGUACCCCGAGGAAAAGAAAUCAACCGAGAUUCCGAAAGUAGCGGCGAGCGAAAUUGGACUAGCCCUUAAGCUUUACACGCGUUAGACGAACGGUCUGGAAAGUCCGACGAUACAGGGUGAUAGUCCCGUAGUUGACGACGUGUGUUCAGUGAAAUCGAGUAGGGCGGGACACGUGAUAUCCUGUCUGAAUAUGGGGGGACCAUCCUCCAAGGCUAAAUACUACUGACUGACCGAUAGUGAACCAGUACCGUGAGGGAAAGGCGAAAAGAACCCCUGUGAGGGGAGUGAAAUAGAACCUGAAACCGUGUACGUACAAGCAGUAGGAGCACCUUCGUGGUGUGACUGCGUACCUUUUGUAUAAUGGGUCAGCGACUUAUAUUCAGUGGCAAGGUUAACCAUCUAGGGGAGCCGUAGGGAAACCGAGUCUUAACUGGGCGUUCAGUCUCUGGAUAUAGACCCGAAACCAGGUGAUCUAGCCAUGGGCAGGUUGAAGGUUGAGUAACAUCAACUGGAGGACCGAACCGACUAAUGUUGAAAAAUUAGCGGAUGACUUGUGGCUAGGGGUGAAAGGCCAAUCAAACCUGGAGAUAGCUGGUUCUCCCCGAAAGCUAUUUAGGUAGCGCCUCGGACGAAUACUACUGGGGGUAGAGCACUGUUAAGGCUAGGGGGUCAUCCCGACUUACCAACCCUUUGCAAACUCCGAAUACCAGUAAGUACUAUCCGGGAGACACACGGCGGGUGCUAACGUCCGUCGUGGAGAGGGAAACAACCCAGACCGCCAGCUAAGGUCCCAAAUUACUACUAAGUGGGAAACGAUGUGGGAAGGCUCAGACAGCCAGGAUGUUGGCUUAGAAGCAGCCAUCAUUUAAAGAAAGCGUAAUAGCUCACUGGUCGAGUCGGCCUGCGCGGAAGAUGUAACGGGGCUAAGUAGUAAACCGAAGCUGCGGCAAUAUACUUUUGUAUAUUGGGUAGGGGAGCGUUCUGUAAGCGGUUGAAGGUGUGUGGUAACGCAUGCUGGACGUAUCAGAAGUGCGAAUGCUGACAUGAGUAACGAUAAAGGGGGUGAAAAACCUCCUCGCCGGAAGACCAAGGGUUCCUGUCCAACGUUAAUCGGGGCAGGGUAAGUCGACCCCUAAGGCGAGGCCGAAAGGCGUAGUCGAUGGGAAACGGGUUAAUAUUCCCGUACUUCUUACAAUUGCGAUGGGGGGACGGAGAAGGCUAGGUGGGCCUGGCGACGGUUGUCCAGGUUCAAGUGCGUAGGCUUAAGAGUUAGGUAAAUCCGGCUCUUUCUAAGGCUGAGACACGACGUCGAGCACCUACGGGUGUGAAGUCAUUGAUGCCAUGCUUCCAGGAAAAGCCUCUAAGCUUCAGAUUGUAAGGAAUCGUACCCCAAACCGACACAGGUGGUCGGGUAGAGAAUACCAAGGCGCUUGAGAGAACUCGGGUGAAGGAACUAGGCAAAAUGGUACCGUAACUUCGGGAGAAGGUACGCUCUUGAUGGUGAAGUCCCUUGCGGAUGGAGCUGACGAGAGUCGCAGAUACCAGGUGGCUGCAACUGUUUAUUAAAAACACAGCACUGUGCAAAAUCGUAAGAUGACGUAUACGGUGUGACGCCUGCCCGGUGCCGGAAGGUUAAUUGAUGGGGUUAGACUUCGGUCGAAGCUCUUGAUCGAAGCCCCGGUAAACGGCGGCCGUAACUAUAACGGUCCUAAGGUAGCGAAAUUCCUUGUCGGGUAAGUUCCGACCUGCACGAAUGGCGUAAUGAUGGCCACGCUGUCUCCACCCGAGACUCAGUGAAAUUGAAAUCGCUGUGAAGAUGCAGUGUACCCGCGGCUAGACGGAAAGACCCCGUGAACCUUUACUACAGCUUGGCACUGAACAUUGACCCUACAUGUGUAGGAUAGGUGGGAGGCUUUGAAGCAGGUACGCCAGUAUCUGUGGAGCCGUCCUUGAAAUACCACCCUUGUAGUGUUGAUGUUCUAACGUUGACCCCUUAUCGGGGUUGCGGACAGUGCCUGGUGGGUAGUUUGACUGGGGCGGUCUCCUCCCAAAGAGUAACGGAGGAGCACGAAGGUGGGCUAAUCACGGUUGGACAUCGUGAGGUUAGUGCAAUGGCAUAAGCCCGCUUGACUGCGAGAAUGACAAUUCGAGCAGGUGCGAAAGCAGGUCAUAGUGAUCCGGUGGUUCUGAAUGGAAGGGCCAUCGCUCAACGGAUAAAAGGUACUCCGGGGAUAACAGGCUGAUACCGCCCAAGAGUUCAUAUCGACGGCGGUGUUUGGCACCUCGAUGUCGGCUCAUCACAUCCUGGGGCUGAAGUCGGUCCCAAGGGUAUGGCUGUUCGCCAUUUAAAGUGGUACGCGAGCUGGGUUUAGAACGUCGUGAGACAGUUCGGUCCCUAUCUGCCGUGGGCGUUGGAAGAUUGAAGGGGGCUGCUCCUAGUACGAGAGGACCGGAGUGGACGAACCUCUGGUGUUCGGGUUGUGUCGCCAGACGCAUUGCCCGGUAGCUAAGUUCGGAAUCGAUAACCGCUGAAAGCAUCUAAGCGGGAAGCGAGCCCUGAGAUGAGUCUUCCCUGAUACUUUAAGUAUCCUAAAGGGUUGUCGGAGACUACGACGUUGAUAGGUCAGGUGUGUAAGUGCUGUGAGGCAUUGAGCUAACUGAUACUAAUUGCCCGUGAGGCUUAACCAU